AUGUGGGCACUGAGGGAAGCCGCGAUGCUGGGGCUCAGUGCACGGGGCACAGCUGUGCUGACACGGCUCCACGGCUCCGCACCAAAGCCGCCCAGUUCAUGCGUGGCUCCCGGGGAGCUAAACGGGAGCCGAUCCUCCCCAAAAACCCAACCUGGAUCUUGCAGUGAGAUGGGGAUGGGACGAGCAGUGUGCGGGGCUGAGGGCGCACUGACUUGUGCUGGAGCUUCUUUGUGGGGUUUGGACACUUUGGGGGGUUGGACUCGUGGGGUCUGGACUCUUUGGGGCUUGGGCUUUUGGGGUUUGGACUCUUUGGGACUUGGACUUGUUGGGGUCUGGACUCUUUGGGGCUUGGACUCCUGGGGGUUUGGACGCUUUGGGGCUUGGGCUUUUGGAGUUUGGGCUUUUAGGGUUUGGACUCUUUGGGGGUUUGGACUUUUGGGGUUUGGAUGCUUUGGGGCUUGGACUUUUGGGGUAUGGACUUGCAGGGUUUGGACUAUUGGGGUAUUGACUUUUGGGGCUUGGACUCUUUGGGGCUUGGGCUUUUGGUGUUCAGGCUUCUGGGGUAUUGGCUUUGGGGGUUUGGACUCUUUGGGGCUUGGACUCCUGGGGGUUUGGACCUGUGGGAUUUGGACUUUUGGGGUUUGGACUUUUGGGGCUCGGACGCUUUGGGCUUUGUGUUCUCGGGCUUUGCUCUCCCUGAGGCUCGGCCCCUGCCCUGCCCUGCCCGUGGCGCUGUCCCCCCCCCGCUCCUUCAGCAGCCGGCCCCGGGCCCCCCGGGGGGGGCGGGGGGGCUCGGGGGGGGCCCGGCCCUGGGGGGGGGGGGGGGGGGGCGCAGGGCGGGGUCCCGGUCCCGGUGCCGUUCCCGUUCCCGGCCGGGGGUAUUUUGGGUGCGCGCAGCCCGCCCCGCGCCGCCCGCCCGUGACCUACCUGCAGCCCGAGCCGCUGCCAGCCCCGCGCCGUGAGCGCCUCCGCCAGGACGGCCCCGCCCCCUCCCCCCCCCCGCCUCCCACCGGCCCCGCCCCGCCCCGCCCCGGCCCCGGUACGGGAUGGCGGCGGCGGCAAGAGCCCGGAACCCCGGAGCCGCACCCGCGGGGGCGACACGGAACCUCCGCGGCGGGCGCACCGCCCCGCGCUGAUUGGUCGGCGGAGCCGGCGAGGAGCGCGGUGAUUGGCCCUCCGUGA
rnacentral:lncRNA from 1 species